UAGGUACUCAGAAGUGACUAUGGUGAGA
rnacentral:piRNA from 1 species